rnacentral:rRNA from 1 species
AUACAGAGGAUGCGAGCGUUAAUCGGAAUUACUGGGCGUAAAGCGCGCGUAGGCGGCUUAUUAAGUCAGAUGUGAAAUCCCCGGGCUCAACCUGGGAACUGCAUCUGAUACUGGUAAGCUAGAGUUUGGGAGAGGGAAGUAGAAUUUCAGGUGUAGCGGUGAAAUGCAUAGAGAUCUGAAGGAAUACCAGUGGCGAAGGCGACUUCCUGGCCUAAAACUGACGCUGAGGUGCGAAAGCGUGGGUAGCAAACGGGAUUAGAAACCCCGGUAGUCC